CAAAAUCCCAGUGAUGACCUCAAGGUGGCUGUCAACAACUCGUCAAUUGUUGAGAUGACAGCAACCUGCCCUUCAAGUGGACCACAGCUUGAAAUAGGCACCAGAACAAGACAGCAGACCUUGUGCAAUGCACUCUCCCACGGGCCUCCCAUUCCAAUUUCCCCUUUUUAAGCCUUUCUCCCCAGCCUAAAGUUUUAAGAGGUUUCUGGAGGCGUAAGGAUUCUAUUUAUGUUUAAUGAACAAAAAAAUUAGUUUCAAUGAAAACUUUAUUUGAAAUGAUGAAUUCAAGCUAUUACCAGCCUCCCAAGUAAGAUGCCAGAGACUUCAAACACUGCUGUUGUUUCUCAAGGAAAAGAUCCAGUUAACAAGGAAUCAUUCUCUCUUCUUCAAUAGCUGCUUACGAAAUAAAAACAUCAGUAGGAGGGGAAGGAGGAAGGAAGGAGAAGAAAGAGGAAGAAUAGGAGGAGAAGAGGAAGAGAGGAAGAAGUGAACAGCCCUCCUGCAUUUUGCAUCAGGUAGAAAAGUCAGUUGAAUGUUGGGAAGAACACAAAUAAUCACAAGACCCUGGUUCCAGAGCGGUCCUGCUUUACACCGAAGGAAAGGAAUGUCAUACAGAAAGGCCAAGAAGAAUCUGAAGAGAUGUCCAAUCACCUUUUCACGUGGCUGCCCAUUCUUCAUUGAACCUAAGCAUUAAAAUAGACAGUUUCCCCUGGGUCUUUGGGUCUUCAUUUCUGAAGACUCCAUGUCAUGUAAAACUUUGAUUAAAUAAAUGUAUCAUGCAUUA
rnacentral:lncRNA from 1 species